GUAACACGUAGGCAACCUGCCGACAGGAUGGGGACAACAUUCCGAAAGGAAUGCUAAUACCGAAUGAAGUCACCGGAGGGCAUCCUCUGGUGAUGAAAGAUGGCCUCUGAAUAUGCUAUCACCUGUCGAUGGGCCUGCGUCUGAUUAGCCAGUUGGCGGGGUAACGGCCCACCAAAGCGACGAUCAGUAGCCGGUCUGGGAGGAUGAACGGCCACAUUGGGACUGAGACACGGCCCAGACUCCUACGGGAGGCAGCAGUGGGGAAUCUUCCACAAUGGGCGAAAGCCUGAUGGAGCAACGCCGCGUGAGUGAAGAAGGUCUUCGGAUCGUAAAGCUCUGUUGCACGGGACGAAAACCGAGCUUGAAAACAUUGAGUUUGGGUGACGGUACCGAGCGAGGAAGCCACGGCUAACUACGUGCCAGCAGCCGCGGUAAUACGUAGGUGGCGAGCGUUGUCCGGAAUUAUUGGGCGUAAAGGGAGCGCAGGCGGACAUAUAAGUCCAUCUUAAAAGUGCGGGGCUCAACCCCGUGAGGGGAUGGAAACUGUAUGCCUUGAGUGCAGGAGAGGAAAGCGGAAUUCCCAGUGUAGCGGUGAAAUGCGUAG
rnacentral:rRNA from 1 species